rnacentral:rRNA from 1 species
AUUGUGUGAAUACAUAGCACAUUCGAGGUAGACGCAGAGAACUGAAACAUCUAAGUACCUGCAGGAAGAGAAAGAAAAUUCGAUUCCCUGAGUAGCGGCGAGCGAAACGGGAAAAGCCCAAACCAGCAAGCUUGCUUGUUGGGGUUGUAGGACUCCAAUAUGGUAGUUCUUUCAGAUAGUCGAAUGACUUGGAAAAGUCAGUCAAAGAGGGUAAAAACCCCGUAGACGAAAUGUGGAAGACACCUAGGAGGAUCCUGAGUACGGCGGAACACGAGAAAUUCCGUCGGAAUCCGGGAGGACCAUCUCCCAAGGCUAAAUACUCCCUAGUGACCGAUAGUGAACCAGUACCGUGAGGGAAAGGUGAAAAGCACCCCGGAAGGGGAGUGAAAUAGAACCUGAAACCGUGUGCCUACAACAAGUCAAAGCCCGUUAAUGGGUGAUGGCGUGCCUUUUGUAGAAUGAACCGGCGAGUUACGAUUGCAUGCGAGGUUAAGUUGAAGAGACGGAGCCGCAGCGAAAGCGAGUCUGAAUAGGGCGUUUGAGUAUGUAGUCGUAGACCCGAAACCAUGUGAUCUACCCAUGUCCAGGUUGAAGGUGCGGUAAAACGCACUGGAGGACCGAACCCACGUACGUUGAAAAGUGCGGGGAUGAGGUGUGGGUAGCGGAGAAAUUCCAAACGAACUUGGAGAUAGCUGGUUCUCUCCGAAAUAGCUUUAGGGCUAGCCUCGGAAUUGAGAAUGAUGGAGGUAGAGCACUGUUUGGACUAGGGGCCCAUCUCGGGUUACCGAAUUCAGAUAAACUCCGAAUGCCAUUCAUUCAUAUCCGGGAGUCAGACUGUGAGUGAUAAGAUCCAUAGUCGAAAGGGAAACAGCCCAGACCACCAGCUAAGGUCCCAAAAUAUAUGUUAAGUGGAAAAGGAUGUGGGGUUGCACAGACAACUAGGAUGUUGGCUUAGAAGCAGCCACCAUUUAAAGAGUGCGUAAUAGCUCACUAGUCGAGUGACCCUGCGCCGAAAAUGUACCGGGGCUAAACAUAUUACCGAAGCUGUGGAGUACACCUUUAGGUGUAUUGGUAGGAGAGCGUUCUAAGGGCGUUGAAGGCAGAUCGUGAGGACUGCUGGAGCGCUUAGAAGUGAGAAUGCCGGUAUGAGUAGCGAAAGACAGGUGAGAAUCCUGUCCACCGAAUGACUAAGGUUUCCUGGGGAAGGCUCGUCCGCCCAGGGUUAGUCGGGACCUAAGCCGAGGCCGACAGGCGUAGGCGAUGGAUAACAGGUUGAUAUUCCUGUACCCGUUGUUUUUGUUUGAGCAAUGGAGGGACGCAGGAGGCUAAGGAAUGCAGACGAUCGGAAAUGUCUGUCCAA